rnacentral:rRNA from 1 species
UACGUAGGGUGCAAGCGUUAAUCGGAAUACUGGGCGUAAAGCGUGCGCAGGCGGUUCGUUAAGACAGAUGUGAAAUCCCCGGGCUUAACCUGGGAACUGCAUUUGUGACUGGCGGACUGGAGUAUGGCAGAGGGGGGGGUAGAAUUCCACGUGUAGCAGUGAAAUGCGUAGAGAUGUGGAGGAAUACCGAUGGCGAAGGCAGCCCCCUGGGCCCAAUACUGACGCUCAUGCCACGAAAGCGUGG